rnacentral:rRNA from 1 species
UAACAAGGAUUCCCCUAGUAACUGCGAGUGAAGCGGGAAAAGCUCAAAUUUAAAAUCUGGCGGUCUUCGGCCGUCCGAGUUGUAAUCUGGAGAAGCGUUUUCCGCGCUGGACCGUGUACAAGUCUCUUGGAACAGAGCGUCAUAGAGGGUGAGAAUCCCGUCUUUGACACGGACUACCAGUGCUAUGUGAUGCGCUCUCGAUGAGUCGAGUUGUUUGGGAAUGCAGCUCAAAAUGGGUGGUAAAUUCCAUCUAAAGCUAAAUAUUGGCGAGAGACCGAUAGCGAACAAGUACCGUGAGGGAAAGAUGAAAAGCACUUUGGAAAGAGAGUUAAACAGUACGUGAAAUUGCUGAAAGGGAAACGAUUGAAGUCAGUCGCGUGUGCUAGAACUCAGCCUUGCUUUUGCUUGGUGCAUUUUCUAGUGUACGGGCCAGCAUCAGUUUUGGCCGCCGGAAAAAGGCCUUGGGAAUGUGGCACCUUCGGGUGUGUUAUAGCCCUUGGUUGUAUACGGUGGCUGGGACUGAGGAACAUAGCAUGCCUUUACGGCGGGGCUUCGGCCACCUUCAUGCUUUGGAUGCUGGCGU